AGGGUUUGAUUAUGGCUCAGAACGAACGCUGGCGGCGUGGAUAAGACAUGCAAGUCGAACGAGAGAAUUGCUAGCUUGCUAAUAAUUCUCUAGUGGCGCACGGGUGAGUAACACGUGAGUAACCUGCCCCCAAGAGUGGGAUAGCCCCGGGAAACUGGGAUUAAUACCGCAUAAAAUCGCAAGAUUAAAGCAGCAAUGCGCUUGGGGAUGGGCUCGCGUCCUAUUAGUUAGUUGGUGAGGUAACGGCUCACCAAGGCGAUGACGGGUAGCCGGUCUGAGAGGAUGUCCGGCCACACUGGAACUGAGACACGGUCCAG
rnacentral:rRNA from 1 species